GGCCGGGUGGCGGAGUGGCGACGCGGCGGACUGCAUAUCCGCAAACCCUGGUUCAAAUCCAGGCCCGGCCUCCA
rnacentral:tRNA from 2 species